AUUGAACGCUGGCGGCAUGCCUUACACAUGCAAGUCGAACGGCAGCACGGGAGCAAUCCUGGUGGCGAGUGGCGAACGGGUGAGUAAUAUAUCGGAACGUGCCCAGUCGUGGGGGAUAACGUAGCGAAAGCUACGCUAAUACCGCAUACUAUCUAUGGAUGAAAGCGGGGGAUCGCAAGACCUCGCGCGAUUGGAGCGGCCGAUAUCAGAUUAGGUAGUUGGUGAGGUAAAGGCUCACCAAGCCGACGAUCUGUAGCUGGUCUGAGAGGACGACCAGCCACACUGGGACUGAGACACGGCCCAGACUCCUACGGGAGGCAGCAGUGGGGAAUUUUGGACAAUGGGCGCAAGCCUGAUCCAGCAAUGCCGCGUGCAGGAUGAAGGCCUUCGGGUUGUAAACUGCUUUGUACGGAACGAAACGGUGAGCUCUAAUACAGUUUGCUAAUGACGGUACCGUAAGAAUAAGCACCGGCUAACUACGUG
rnacentral:rRNA from 1 species